AUAACAAUACAGGACUCUUUCGAGGCCCUGUAAUUGGAAUGAGUACACUUUAAAUCCUUUAACGAGGAUUGGAGGGCACGUCUGGUGCAGAGCGACUGACCCGUGCGUGCUGCAGCUGAAACUCCAC
rnacentral:rRNA from 1 species